UACGGCCAUAUCACGUCGAAACACCGGUUUCCGUACGAUCACCGAAGUUAUGCAACGUUGAGCCUUGUUGGUAGUUAGAUGAGUCACCGCUUGGGAAUAUCAGGA